UAGCCGUAAACGAUACUCGCUAGGUGUCGGCCACGGUGCGACCGUUGUCGGUGCCGUAGGGAAGCCGUGAAGCGAGCCACCUGGGAAGUACGGCCGCAAGGCUGAAACUUAAAGGAAUUGGCGGGGGAGCACCACAACGGGUGGAGCGUGCGGUUCAAUUGGAUUCAACGCCGGACAACUCACCAGGAGCGACGGUUACAUGAAGGCCAGGCUGAUGACCUUGCCUGAUUUUCCGAGAGGUGGUGCAUGGCGUAGUCGUGU
rnacentral:rRNA from 1 species